rnacentral:rRNA from 1 species
AUUGAACGCUGGCGGCAUGCCUUACACAUGCAAGUCGAACGGUAACAGGUCUUCGGAUGCUGACGAGUGGCGAACGGGUGAGUAAUACAUCGGAACGUGCCUAGUAGUGGGGGAUAACUACUCGAAAGAGUGGCUAAUACAGCAUGAGAUCUACGGAUGAAAGCAGGGGAUCGCAAGACCUUGUGCUACUAGAGCGGCCGAGGGCAGAUUAGGUAGUUGGUGGGAUAAAAGCUUACCAAGCCGACGAUCUGUAGCUGGUCUGAGAGGACGAUCAGCCACACUGGGACUGAGACACGGCCCAGACUCCUACGGGAGGCAGCAGUGGGGAAUUUUGGACAAUGGGCGCAAGCCUGAUCCAGCAAUGCCGCGUGCAGGAUGAAGGCCUUCGGGUUGUAAACUGCUUUUGUACGGAACGAAAAGCCCUGGGUUAAUACCCUGGGGUCAUGACGGUACCGUAAGAAUAAGCACCGGCUAACUACGUGCCAGCCGCCGCCGUAA